AGUGAACGCUGGCGGUAGGCCUAACACAUGCAAGUCGAACGGCAGCACAGUAAGAGCUUGCUCUUACGGGUGGCGAGUGGCGGACGGGUGAGGAAUACAUCGGAAUCUACUUUUUCGUGGGGGAUAACGUAGGGAAACUUACGCUAAUACCGCAUACGACCUACGGGUGAAGGCAGGGGAUCUUCGGACCUUGCGCGAUUGAAUGAGCCGAUGUCGGAUUAGCUAGUUGGCGGGGUAAAGGCCCACCAAGGCGACGAUCCGUAGCUGGUCUGAGAGGAUGAUCAGCCACACUGGAACUGAGACACGGUCCAGACUCCUACGGGAGGCAGCAGUGGGGAAUAUUGGACAAUGGGCGCAAGCCUGAUCCAGCCAUACCGCGUGGGUGGGGAAGGCCUUCGGGUUGUAAAGCCCUUUUGUUGGGAAAGAAAAGCAGCAGGUUAAUACCCCGCUGUUCUGACGGUACCCAAAGAAUAAGCACCGGCUAACUUCGUG
rnacentral:rRNA from 1 species